CAUUCUUAUAAAUACUCAAAUUUCAUAUAAUUUAAUCUAAAUGUAUUUAUUUUCUGAACAUUUUACAUUUCACUAUUUCUGUUUAUCACGUUGGUGAUUCUUGUUUGGACUAGUUUAACUGUGUGCAAAAGACGGCUGCAUAUUUUUCUGCAUUUUUGGGUUCAAACAUGUCAAAUUUACAACAAAUAGGCUGUUUUGAGUCAUUCCCAUUAGAAAAAGAAACUUUUGUUACAAAACAGCAAAGAAAAAAUUAUUUUAAGUAAGGAAGUAAAAUACCUUUGUAUCCAUGUUAUGGUUGAAGCAGCUGAAAGGAUUUUAUACUUUUAAGAGAAAAAAAAAGGAAAUGUUUUUAUCUCUCUUAUGAGAGUUUUGGGCCUAACGUAUAAAUAUAAGUAUAACUAGGUAAGUAAAAAACAUGAGAAAUUAUUUGGAAAUAUGUGUUGCACGUCUUUUAGACUGAUUUGAGAGUCUUUUAAAAAAGAAAGCAGAAAAAAAACAUUUAAAUUGCAGACAGCUAAAACAAAAAACACCCACACAUGCACCAAAUCCACACAACAGCCGGAACGAAACACUCCAUGAAAUGUGCCCUGCUGGCAGCCUACAGACUCUCAAGUGAUAAAAUCAGUGGACACUAUCCAGGAAUGACCACAAAAAUAAAACAGUUUUGAUGCUAAACAUCAUUCUUAUUAAUAUAUUCUUCUUAUUUUAUCUUUUCUUCUAUAAACUGCAGCAGCAAAGGCACAAAAAAAAAAAAAAAAAAGGUACUUCUCGUCCUAAUCAUUAAUGAAUGCAAACAGUUAUCCUGUGGAUCCUCGAGGCGAGGCGUACACUGGGAAACUAUCCAACUGGAAAAGUUGGUCCUAAAUUGCAGUUUAUUGAGCUGCUCACAGCUGGGCCGGCGGAGCCCUGAUGACUCAUGAUAACCUGCUGGAGUGAAGCAGCCGCGCUCAGCGCAGCAGGACGAAUGGGGGUUUUACAUAAUUUGCAUUUCCGCUGCUGCUGCAACUUCUGCAGGUUACGUGACACCGGGCAGGACAGGCGUUACACAAGGACGGCAGCUCUGCUUUCGCCCACAGACAGGUAGCGGCUGUUGACCCACGAGCUGCUGAAACACCAACACAAGACUGUUUACACUGGACAGGGUCGAACGUAGCAAGACAAAGAAGGAGGAACGUAAAGAGGCUUUAAAAAGUGAAGGGAAAGUUAUGGAUGUUCAGAAGAAUGCAGGAACCGCUUCACCGAUAUAAACCGUAAGAAUUACCUCAAGCUCAUGUCAGAUUGGACGGAAACUGCAAUUUUCUAUUAGAUAAAGGUUUGGACUUUGACUGGGCCAUUCUAACACAUGAAAAUUUUUAAAUCUAAACCAGCUCUGGCUGCAUGUUUUGGUCUUAAAUCGUCUGCAGCUUCUUGGUUCCAUGUUUCCAUCAAAUCAGGCCAGCUUCUCUGUUCCUGCUGGAGAAACGAACCCCCAGAGCAUGACGCUACCACUACCAUGUCUUAAACAUGGGGACGGUUUGUUCAGGUUUCUUUACAUCACAUCCUUUUCCUGCAGCAGUCAGUGUAAAGAGGUGAGCAGCCGGAUCCACAAAAUGCCCGAGUGUUUUGACUGAAAGGCCGUCAAUGUUUUUAAAGAAGUCCUUCCUGAAUUCCUGAAUUUGUUGAGACGGUUUUCAGACAUCCUGUAAGUCUGAUCACAUCAUGUUGGCGCAAACGUUUUACUUUUUUCAGCGUUUAAGUAUCAGACAACAA